CACGCACACCCAGUCUCACGAUCGCGGCCCCAGGCCACAGGCGAAAACUAGAGGUGAACCCUCACCAGGGCUUCCCAGAAUUGGAAGGAUGGUAACAUCAAACCUCCUCUCCAGUUAACUGAGUCCUCAAGUCUGUUUUGCCUUCUCUCUCUCUCCCCUCCAUGUCUCACAUCUCCACUCAGUGGUCAGUUCUUUCCCAGGAACCCUGAACUCGGAGAUAGCAGGACUUCAAACCCUCUUCCCAACCCCAUCCUUCAGGGUGACCAGCGCCCCUUCUUCAAUGGAGAACUGUAGUGCCUGCAGCACCUCACCAAGGAGCAAGGGCUCCCUGACAUCUUUUGAAAGGAGGAAUCUUGACACCAUUUCCUGGACAGAAUCUCCUUGCCACAUUCUAUCAUGCCUAUUCUGUAACUUUGUCUCAGAGAGCUCCCGAAGUUCACUUAGGUGGUUUUGCAAAGAAUUGACCAGGGACUUCUGUUGGCCAGUUUUUGAAUCAGGACUAAUUUCAGGUUCUAUGCUUUUAUUUAAAACUGGAUGGUAGCGAGCGCGAGCGAAAGACUCAGCUGGAGAAAGAGGAGGGACUAGCAGCCUGGAGAUCCAGCCCAUUUCAUUUUCCUUUCCAGUAUUUUGGCAGAAGUAAUGGUGUAGGUCUUCUGGUAGCUCCUGUGGCAACUGACUCUACCCUGAAGGUUCGACAAAGCUUUACUGCUAUCAUUCUGCUUCUCGAUUACUGGGAAAGGCUGGAUCGCGGCGAGUUUCUCCUCCAGGCUCUUCAGGAAAUCUCUGUGGAUUAAGACAGAAAAGGAAAAGUGAUGCCAUGGCAUAGAGAUGGCGCUAGGACCCUUUGCAGGAGGGACGUGCGCCACUACCCAGCUGUCUCUGCAUGAGCUUCUUCUCUCAAGAUCCAGGGUAUUUUGAGUGGCCCUCUUCCAGUUGAGUUGGAAGCUGCCUGACUGAAGAUGAGAAAAUGCAGUUAUUUGAGCGCUUGAAGGGGGAACUGUAGGUUGCUAAAGUAGAAGGGAAGAGGAUUUUGAGCAAAGAAGAACUUAUGUUGGUAGGAGCUGCAGCGUCGCUAUUCAUUGCCUGAGUAGCAAAGCAUGGCCAGGUAAGAUUGCAGCAGCACCAAGUGCCUCCAGUGCCAUUAUGAAACAGGGUUGCAGUGUGAGUUUCUUGAGUGAGUCAGCUAUAGACCCUGUGUGAGAGAACCAGGCAUAAUCUUGUUGAGUUUGGGAAUAAUGGAUCCAUGGAAACUGCCCCUUGGAGUGAGGGAACCACAAGCCAUUUGCUUUGUUGCUCAAGUAACAGCACCCAGAUUCUGCAUGUCUGAGUUCAAAGCUAAUGCUGAUUUUCCUUCUGGUUCAGCAAAGGCAAGAGGAAGAAGCUAUCCCUGGGAGCCUAGGUGAAGGAAAAGUGGAUUCGGGAGAAAUGCUAAUCAGUUGAAAAUAAGAAUGCAUUUUAUUUAGUUUUGAUGUUUAAGAUGUGUUUUGGACACUGAUCUUUUUGCAGCGUUUUGAGUGGGGGAUGUUAAGUUGAUUUUGAACUUGGUGCUAUCUAUGCAUUGUCUCCUGGUCAUGAGAUUUGGUACUUUUGGAGUUGUAAUAUUUUCCAUCUUUAAUAAGUGACUGAUGUGGAUACUGAAGUUAAACUAAGAAUUAUAAUAAACAAUUUCCAACAAAAGGCAA